rnacentral:rRNA from 1 species
UACAGAGGUCUCAAGCGUUGUUCGGAUUCAUUGGGCGUAAAGGGUGCGUAGGCGGCGCGGUAAGUCGGGUGUGAAAUCUCGGAGCUUAACUCCGAAACUGCAUUCGAUACUGCCGUGCUUGAGGACUGGAGAGGAGACUGGAAUUUACGGUGUAGCGGUGAAAUGCGUAGAUAUCGUAAGGAAGACCAGUGGCGAAGGCGGGUCUCUGGACGGUUCCUGACACUGAGGCGCGACAGCGUGGGGAGCAAACAGG